CCUACGGGGUGCAGCAGUGGGGAAUAUUGGACAAUGGGGGGAACCCUGAUCCAGCCAUGCCGCGUGUGUGAAGAAGGCCCUCGGGUUGUAAAGCACUUUCAGUGAGGAAGAACGCCUGGUGGUUAAUACCCAUCAGGAAAGACAUCACUCACAGAAGAAGCACCGGCUAACUCCGUGCCAGCAGCCGCGGUAAUACGGAGGGUGCGAGCGUUAAUCGGAAUUACUGGGCGUAAAGCGCGCGUAGGUGGCUUGAUAAGCCGGUUGUGAAAGCCCCGGGCUCAACCUGGGAACGGCAUCCGGAACUGUCAAGCUAGAGUGUAGGAGAGGAAGGUAGAAUUCCCGGUGUAGCGGUGAAAUGCGUAGAGAUCGGGAGGAAUACCAGUGGCGAAGGCGGCCUUCUGGACUGACACUGACACUGAGGUGCGAAAGCGUGGGUAGCAAACAGGAUUAGAUACCCUUGUAGUC
rnacentral:rRNA from 1 species